GUGAACGCUGGCGGUAGGCCUAACACAUGCAAGUCGAACGGCAGCACAGUAAGAGCUUGCUCUUACGGGUGGCGAGUGGCGGACGGGUGAGGAAUACAUCGGAAUCUACUUUUUCGUGGGGGAUAACGUAGGGAAACUUACGCUAAUACCGCAUACGACCUACGGGUGAAAGCAGGGGAUUUUCGGACCUUGCGCGAUUGAAUGAGCCGAUGUCGGAUUAGCUAGUUGGCGGGGUAAAGGCCCACCAAGGCGACGAUCCGUAGCUGGUCUGAGAGGAUGAUCAGCCACACUGGAACUGAGACACGGUCCAGACUCCUACGGGAGGCAGCAGUGGGGAAUAUUGGACAAUGGGCGCAAGCCUGAUCCAGCCAUACCGCGUGGGUGAAGAAGGCCUUCGGGUUGUAAAGCCCUUUUGUUGGGAAAGAAAAGCAGCAGGUUAAUACCCCGCUGUUCUGACGGUACCCAAAGAAUAAGCACCGGCUAACUUCGUG
rnacentral:rRNA from 1 species